CUGGCUCCACCUCUCCUAGACCCAUUUAAGAGCUGACUAGCAGUGGGGAAGGAUCUCUUUCUGGAGAUCCCUCCUUUGGAGUUUUACAGCAAGUCUGGUUCAAGGAUUUUUGCUUUGCAUUAGAAUAAUUGUCCUAUUGGACUCCUUUUUCUGAAUUAUCCAGCAAGGACUCAGACUUCUGAGAGGGACUUUCGUAUCAACAAGUGGGAGAAUUAAUUUCUAUGUAACACUUGCAAUGCAAUAUUUUUCCUCUGAUUUCACUGGUAACGUGUCUUAGGAGGUGGAUUUUAUUUUCCUCUGC